UCUCGCUACAUUGAAGACCCAUUGGUUGCCUUCGGCUGUUGUUUGCUCUAUGGUCGGGUGGUUGUCGCUUUGACAUAUUCACCAUUUCCUUUCUCAAUUUUAUUCUGAAGACAAUAAGGCUAUAAUUGUUAAAUGAACAGACAACUAAUAAUAACUUUUAUUUAUAUACCUUUUAUCCAUGAAAAUAACAUCUGCUUUAAAAGACAGAUAAGCUAGAUUUAUAGUCAACAAUGCUUUACUGGGUUAUAGUCUCAGAAAUCAAUCAUUAUUAACAAAUCAAAACAACAGAAAUAUCAUAUCUGUAGAUUACAUAAUUGUAAACCGCGCUUGUACAAUACAACUCUGUUUCAGCUUAUCCCACACAGGCAAUUGUCUCAAAAAUAAAUCCUAUAUACCUUAAAAUAACACAAGCCUACUUUGGACUGGGUGUUGCCAAAGCUUGAGAAGAAUUCCAAAAAACAUCCCGUUGACCGACUUCUGAGGCCUGCUACUAAUGAUCCCGACAACAGUGAUAGUCGUGUCAUAUACCAUUGUGUAGAUAAAUCAAUUUAGAUUUACGGCAUAUUAAGUUUAAGUAAGUUUGACAACCGAGAAAUGAAAAAAAAAAUAACAGGAUUUCGGGACUAGGUGUCAUUUUUCAAAAAAAUUAGUUAAGUACCUUGUGUUAUAUUAAGGUAUAUAGGAUUUUUUUUUUUUGAGACAAGUGCCUGUGUUAUCCCAACCGAAUACAAGAACACAAAAGUAGUUGUAACCAGUAAGAAUAACCAACACUAUUUUCUAAAUAAGAGUAAGCUGCUUCAAAUCAACAGCAUCUUUUUUUCGUGUUUUUUCAAGGUUAUCAGAUAUUUUUCACAUGUAAAAAAGAUAUUUAAAAGAUGUAAAAUUAUUUUCAAGGUUCUGAUAUUCAUUUUGCAAUAAAUGUUUAGUAAAUAAUUGGCUAAUCAAUAAGUUCCGGAUGACUUGUUCUAUAUAUCGGUCGUCUACUCUUCCUUUGUCAUAUUAUUAAAAAAAUAAUUCUCCCGUCAUCAAAGGAUCAAAAGAUGUAGUAUGAACCCUCAACACAUAUUUUUCCAAAUCCUAACCUAAAUAUGUUCAUUGUAGAAAAAUAAACAAUACAUAAACAACCAGGAUUAAAGGAUAGGAUGUAGUUAACAUCAAUGAGUAUAUCAGUGAAAGAGUAUAACAUAAAUUGUAAACUGAUGAAAGAUUAAAAAACCUUCAAAAAUCCUCUAUUUCAAGUAUCAAUAAAAACGUCUUAUGUUCUGGAUAAAAUGAAGUAUUCUUUAUUAAUAUCUCCUGGUAAUUUUACAUAAACUCAAUAAUCAAAAGCAGCAUACAAUAAUAAGUUUCAAUUAGACAGCAUUUAAAUACGAAAUUAAAGUAAUCAUGUGUUUAAAAGACAUCAUGUAAAAGUCCUAUCUAUGAUUAAAAUUUCAAAAUUCAAAAGUUUUUACAAGUAAUUUGCGUCUAAAAAAAUUUUGACGGCCUUUUAUUUCUCUAGAAAUUGUUCAAAAAAUUAUAUCAAUUAUUAAAAGCACCCUUCAUAAAACUGAAAAUUACACUUAUUUAUCAAGUUUAUUGUUCAAGCAACACAAGAUCAAGCGUUGGUAAAAAUUCAAACAAACAAAAAACAAUUAAAUUAUGAUAUAUAUAUAUAUAUAUAGUACACUGACAUUUGAUAUUUUAUACAUUAUUGACCUCCUAGAGGUAAUGAAAAUGCAAAGGAUAGAUUGAUUAAACACAAGUAUCCAGUAACAUACUAUUGGAUAAGCAAAGUUACGGAUAUGGGAUAUUUAGGUAAGGAAUGACUGUACCUAAUACUUUUUUUAUAAAGAAAUAGCAUCAGAAAUGUGGUGUACAGUACAUAACCCAUUAUUUGAAAGUGUGCAUUACAUUUUUUUAUGUUAUUUCUAAUAGAUAGAUAGAUAUAACAGUUAUAUCUAACAAUCUUAUUUAAAUUCCAUUUUGAACCGGAUUUAACCAUGUAAAAAAGUUAAACGUCAAUGAUGUCACAGUCACACGACAACAGUAUGUGGAGCAGGAUCUGCUUACCCUUCCGGAGCACCUGAGAUCACCCCUAGUUUUUGGUGGGGUUCGUGUUGUUUAUUCUUUAGUUUUCUAUGUUGUGUCAUGUGUACUAUUGUUUUUCUGUUUGUCUUUUUCAUUUUUAGCCAUGGCGUUGUCAGUUUGUUUUAGAUUUACGAGUUUGACUGUCCCUUUGGUGUCUUUCGUCCCUCUUUUAUGUCUCAGAGCUAACAAUAUUAGAACGUCAGCCAAUUAUAAGCGGCGUUUCUUCCAAAAUUAGACAAUUAUUUGAUUGAGUGCUAUUUUUCUGGAUAAAGGAUUAUCAAAUUUUGUUUAGGAGUUUUUGAUAAAUUGAGGAAAAAAUAUUUAAAUGUAAGACAGAUAGAACAAAUACACCUCAAAAUUGUAACAAAUAUUUCAGAAAUUUAUGUCCAAAGAAUCACUACAAAUGCAUUAUGAUAAAUAUGUACAUGUUUAGCAUUGUCUACAAUGUACCUGUACAAAAAAUAUAUCAUAAAAAGUAUAAAAAUAUAUUUAUAACAAAAUAAUAAAUAAAGUGUUAUAAUAAAAAUAUCAGAGAAUUAACAACAGUUUUUCCAUUUUUUUCACAGCAAUAAUAUAACAGUCAUUCUUUAUACAUUUUACCUGUUGUAAAAAUGUGCAAAAUGUCUUUUCCUUUAGAGAAAUAUUGCUCAAAUACUUUCUAUCGUUUUGCACAUUACCCUGCAGAUCAUGAUUCUGG
rnacentral:lncRNA from 1 species